rnacentral:rRNA from 1 species
CUCUGUCAAGUGGGAAGAACCUGCAGUAUGCCAAUAUCAUAUUGCACUGACGGUACCACUGAAGGAAGCACCGGCUAACUCCGUGCCAGCAGCCGCGGUAAUACGGGGGGUGCAAGCGUUAUUCGGAAUCAUUGGGCGUAAAGAGCACGUAGGCGGCCUGGUAAGUCAGAUGUGAAAGCCCGGGGCUUAACCCCGGAAGUGCAUUUGAUACUGUCAGGCUUGAGUAUGGGAGAGGGAAGUGGAAUUCCUGGUGUAGAGGUGAAAUUCGUAGAUAUCAGGAGGAACACCGGUGGCGAAGGCGACUUCCUGGACCAAUACUGACGCUGAGGUGCGAAGGCGUGGGUAGCAAACAGGAUUAGAUACCCUGGUAGUCCACGCAGUAAACGUUGUUCACUAGGUGUAGCGGGUAUUGACCCCUGCUGUGCCGCAGUUAACGCAUUAAGUGAACCGCCUGGGGAGUACGGCCGCAAGGUUAAAACUCAAAGGAAUUGACGGAAUCG